rnacentral:tRNA from 3 species
GUCCGUGGAGUGAAACUUCUGGCGCCUUCGUAGCGCUUGGCCGUAGGUUCGAGUCCGGCCGCGGGCGCCA